rnacentral:rRNA from 1 species
AUGCAUAAUGGUUUACUCGCUACUCUGCGGAACCGCCUAACCAAUGUUGCUUCUGUAGAGCUUGCGUCUGUUUUGUCUCUGUUGCAGGAUGUUGCCACCAACGACGCGCCCGACGACAGGUUCCUCAACCACGGAUCCUCCUUCUCCUCGAGGUGCGCCUACUCGUUGCUCUCCUCCGACCACGAGUUCGAUCUCAACGCAGGGUACAUCUGGAGCUCCAAGGCACCUAUCAAGGUCAAGAUCUUCGGCUGGCUUCUCUGUCGUGACAGGUUGAGCACGAUGGCGAACUUACACCGGAAGACCAUCACAUCUGACUCGGUCUGCCCGCGGUGCACACUCACCCAUGAGGACGCCGCGCACGUCGCCAUUCUUUGCCCAUGCGCGAUACAGGUCUGGGCCCUCUUGGGGUUGCAGCAACCUCACUCCAUCAACCUUCUUUGGGAUACUACAACACCGGUCGGCCUCGACAUCAACAUUUGGCCCACCAUCGCCCUCGCCAUUCUAUGGAAACUGUGGGAUUCCAGGAAUGCUCGUGUCUUUCGCAAUGAACAACACACACCCCUAGAUACUCUUCGGAACAUUAUCUCGGAUUUCACGCUUUGGGCCUUUAGGUUUAAGGACCCCGUCAGUAGGGAGGCUGCCGUGUCUUGGCGCCUAUACCUAUCCUCUCGUUGUAACCCGUAA